rnacentral:rRNA from 1 species
AACGACUCUCGACAACGGAUAUCUCGGCUCUCGCAUCGAUGAAGAACGUAGCGAAAUGCGAUACUUGGUGUGAAUUGCAGAAUCCCGUGAACCAUCGAGUCUUUGAACGCAAGUUGCGCCCGAAGCCAAUAGGCCGAGGGCACGUCUGCCUGGGCGUCACACA